rfam:Pongo abelii chromosome 6.
CCAAAGGCUCUUUUCAGAGCCACCCACGUUUUCUGUAAAGUGCUG